UAUCAUGAACAACAUAAGUACCUCUCUUAAAGAUAGUUAUCAUGAACAACAUAAGUACCUCUCUUAAUAUAGUAUCACCUCAAAAUGUUUUUUACGUGUUGAUUUACUGUCAUAUGCUAGAAGUCACUAUCUCCAGUAGUAACACUAAGUACUACGACAAAGGCUGGAGUUACACUACAAGUCUGAGUGUAAAAUUAUGACUAAAUGCAUUUCUUAGAUUUUGAUUGUCCUUUAACACAUACUUUUCAAGUGACAUAUAUCUGAUAUUUCUUUGUUCAUGCAACAUAUAAAACAACCUGCAAGCAGAGAACAGAAAACUACACAAAAAUACUCCACAAGCAUCAGAACCUGACAAUGACAUUAUUAAAUUAUUGAUCCAUCCAUUGUCGCUUAUCCUCACAAAGGUCGCGGGGUACACCCUGAACUGGUAACCAGUAUAUUGCAGGGCACAAAGAAACAAACAACCAUUCGCACUCACAAUCACACCCAAGGGCAAUUUAGAGUCUCCAACUAAUGUAUGUUUUUGGGCUGUGGGAAGAAACCAAAGUGCCCGGAGAAAAUCCACGCAGGCACAGGUAGAAAAUGCAAACCUCACAUAGGUAGGGCCAGGAUUUGAACCCCGGUCCUCAGAACUGAGAAGCACACGCUCUAACAAGUCAAACACUGUGCCGCCCAUUUCUAAAUUAGCGUUACAAUUAUUAAAACCAUUAAUAUACCACUCUGGUGUCUUGAGCUUACGUUUCCCUCCUUUAAUAUACACAUAUGGACAAAAUAUUGGUAUCCCUCUGUUAAUGAACAAAAACCCUACAGUGGUCAGGAAUUACUUGAACCUAAGUAAUAGUACAUCAAAAAUUCAAUUAAAAUUAGCAAAUGAAGAUUAAACAACAAAAAAAAAAGACUCAUGACAUGGGGCUGAACAAAAAUGAUGGUACCCUUAACUUAAUGUUUUGUUGCACAAGAUAUUGGAGGGAAUUACUGCGAUCAAAUCAAUUUUGUAACUUUUAAUUAGAUUUCUGCAGCUCUUACCAAAUAAUUUGGCCCACUCUUCAUGAGCAAACUACUCCAGUUGUCUCAGGUUUGAUGGUUGUUUUCUCCAAAUGGCUUGUUUCGGCUCCUUCCACAGAUCUUCAGUAGGAUUUAGAUCAGGGCUUACAGAAGACCACUUCACAAUUGUCCAAUGCUUUGCUCUUAGCCAUUGUUGGGUGUUUUUAGAUGUGUGUUUUGAGUCAUUAUCCCAUUGCAAGACCCAUGACGUACCACUGAGACCAAGCUUUCUGACAGAGGGCAUCAUAUUUGUCUCGAGAAAAAAGUGGUGGUUUUGAAAUUUCGUUGCAGCCUCAAGAGAUUAAAGAUCUGGCUUGUACCAGAUGCAGGAAAGCAGUCACAGAACAUAACAGAAAUUCUUCCAUGUUUUGCAGUAGGGACAACAUUGUUUUCUUCGUAUGCUUCAUUUUUGCAUCAGUAAACACAUGUCCAUCCAUCAAUCUUCUCCUGCUUAUCCACGUCGGGUUGCGGGGAGAGGGGCACACAGAUUUCCCUUUCAUUAGCCACUUCAUCCAGCUAUUCCGGGGGUAUCCCAGGCCAGCCGAGAGAGAGAGAGAGAGAUGACCAAGCUUUUCACUGUAUCUCUAAGGGAGAGCCUGGACAUAAUGCGGAGGAAACUAAUUUCAACUGCUUGUACCCGGGAUGUUGUUUUUUCGGUGGUGACCCACAGCUCAUGACUUACUGCCAGCAAUGCAGACCAAACUCCAACACUGGUCGUACAGGGACCGAACAGCCUGUAUCAAGGGGUUCAGUACACUAUACUCCCACACAGAACUCCCCAAGGGACAUGGUCCAAUACCUUCUCCAAGUCCCCAAAUCCCAUGUGUACUGGUUGAACGAACUCCAAUGCUCACUCAAGGACCUUACUGAGGGUGUAGAGCAGGUCCACUGUUCCAUGGCCAGGAGGAAAACAACAUUACUCCUCCUGAAUCUGAGAUUCAACUUCCCGAGGGACACUCCUCUCCAGCCUGCUGAAUAGAUCUUAGCAGGGAGAGUGAGCAGUGGGAUCUCCCCGUAGUUGGAACACACCCGAUGGUACCCUUUGUAAAAAGGAGGACCCCCACCCCAGUCAGCCAAUCCCUAGGCACUGUCCCUUAUGUCCAUGUGAUUUUGCAGAUGGUGGACCUGAAUUUUCUUGAAGCCGUCUGGAAGUCUUUCUCCAUGGCGUCACCCAACUCCUCCCAUGAUUGAGUUUUUGCUUCAGCGACCACCAAAGCUGCAUUCCGCUCGGCCAACCAGUACCCAUAAGCUGCCUGAGGAAUCCCACAGGCCAAAAAUGCUUGAUAAUACUCCUUCUUCAGUUUCCAAUCACACCCUUCCAGGUCUCACUGUCAUUGCCCAAGUGGGCGCUGAAGUCCCCCAGCAGAAUGAUAGGGUCCCCAGAGGGAGCGUUCUUUAGAAUUCCUCCCCUGGACUCCACAAAAGCAUGAGUACGCUGAACUGCUGUUUGGGGUAUAGGCACAAAUAAUAGUCAGGACCUGUUACUCAACCCGAAGGUGGAGAGAGGCUACCCUCCUGUCCACCGGGGUCAACCCUAACGUACAGGCAUCAAGCCACGGGGCAAUGUUUACCCACACCUGCUCGGCACUUCUCACCGUGUGCAACUCCAGAGUGGAAGAAAGUCCAACCCUUCUCAAGAGGACUGGUACCAGAGCCCAAGAUGUAUAUAGAGGCGAGCCCGACUAUAUCUAGUCCCGGGGGUCGGCAAUUGGGGAACCCGAUCCGCAUGCAGCUCUUUAGCACUGCCCUCGUGGCUCCCUGGAGCUUUUUCAAAAAUGUAUGCAAAUGGAAAAAGAUGGGUGAGAAAAUUAUAAUUUUUGUUUUAAGAUGGUUUCUCUAUGAGGAGAAACUUGACAGGAACAUUCUUAAUGUUUUCCAAUGCUGUAAAAAUAUGUGGAAUAAAUAUUAAAAUUUAACAUUUCUGUCCAUUAAGAUUUGCGCUUAGCCUGUGACGAGUGCUUCUUUGAGCUCAGCGUUGAAGGUGGUUGUCGCAAACAAAGCAGCAGGUGUGUGAUGGGUUGUGGAUCGCAAGGUGAAAAAGAGAAAGAUAGCUGAGGAGAACAACAGAUUCAAAAGUUCUUUGACCGAAUCAUUUGCUUUCCUGAAUUGCCUGCAUGUCUGUUUUGCGAUGAGAAAUUGUCCAACAACAAAAAAGUAAGGUGGAAAGAUAUUUUGAUGGAAAGCAUGUUACAUCUGCAACCAAGUUACCAGUUUUAUUAUUUAAGCAGGUUGCAGACUGUGAUUUUAUCAUACUUGUAUAAUUGUAGCCUAUUCAUUUGUGUCUGUUGCCACAUUAGGGGGAAAGAGGACUGUGCAUUAUUUUAGUUUAUUAAUUGAAAUUAAACUGUCUUAUUUUCAUACAACUCACCUUUUCAAAAGGCUGCUGUUUUGUUUAUUUUUUUUAUCGCGGGCUGUCUGUUGCCCAGAUAGAGGGGAAAAGAGAACUGCAUUUUGUUUCCAUGGGAAGGUCUGAAAUUACAGGAGGUAGGCAUGUUCCAUUUUUUUUAAUCCUCAAAAUAUUACAUUAAAUUUGUUUUCUUUAUUAUAGUUCUAUAGUUUUAUCAAUGUAACAAAACAUAACAUCAAUAAUAGAAGUUAAACUUAAAACACCAUCAUAGAGUGAAGUUGUCACAAGAUGGGUCAUUCUCUCCAGGAUGCAAUGCAGGAAAGCAUUUCAUCAUGAAUGUUCAUUAUGUCAUUUGGAUAAUGGGCUAAUAUAAUAUAGAUAAUAAUAAUAAUAUAAUAUAGAUAUAUAGAGCCAGCUUUUGGAGGCAGGGAUCGGCUCGCCAAAGUCCAUGCCUUUGGCCGGCGCCCAGCUCAUACUACAUCCGACCCUUAUGCCCCCUCCCACAGGUGGUGAGCCCAUGACAGCGGGGUCCCACGUUACAUUUCCAGGCUGUGCCCGGCCAAGUCUCAUGGGUGCAGGUCCAACCACCAGGCACUCGCCUUCGAGUCCCACCUCCAGGCCUUGCUCCAAAAGGGGACCCCAGUGACCCAGCAGCAGGCAAGGGAAACCUAGUAUUUGUCAUAGGGAUUUGUGGUGUAAUACUUUCUCGUCUGGUCCCUCACCGAGGACCUUUUUGCCAUGGGUGACUCUACCGGGGGCGUGAAGCCCCAAACAACUUAGCUCCGACGAUCAUUGGGACACACAAACCCCUGUACCACAAUAAGGUGACAGCUCAAGGAGGAGCAUAGAGCUAUGUGCCUCGCCAAAAUAUUCCAGUUUUUUGUGGUCUUUCCAUAAGUCAUUCUCCCAGACGUUUUUUGGCUUAUCAACAUGUAUUUGGAAAAUUAUUGUUUUGCUUUAUAAUUAUUUAUUUUCAGAGGUGGUGUCCUCCUUGGUCAUUUACCAUUAAGUAGCCUUUGCUUCAAACAACAGCAGAUGAACCUGACCUUUAAUUUCUCUGAAGCUCUUCUCUUUUAGGCUCUUUUGGUACCAUUUGUUUUAGCCAUCUGUCCAAUUUGUCAUCAAUAUUCCUUCUGCGACCAGGUCCACGGAGGUUGGCUAAAGUCACUUAGAGCUUCAAUUUCUGAAUAUUUAAAACUAUAGUCACAAGAAUAUCAAGCUGUUUGGUGUCAUUCUUAUAGCUUCUACAAACAAUAAGUAUACCUACACCUGCUCAGCGCCUCUCAUCGUGGGCAACAACAGAGGGAAAGAGAGUCCAACCGCUCUCAAGAGUACAGGUACCAGAGCCCCAGCCCUGUGUGGAGGAGACCCAGCUUCUGUCGCAGGGGAUCGGAUCACCAAGUCCCUGGAAUCUGUGUGUGUGUGUUCGGUCGUGCCUCCAACCAAAAGGAAACAAGCCAGCGGAUGAAGAUUACUCGGGCUUGAAGGAAGCUUUCCUUGGUACAAUAGAGAACUUCACCUCCAUCCUGGUCUCUGCGCAC